AGCGAACGCUGGCGGCAGGCCUAACACAUGCAAGUCGAACGAAGUCUUCGGACUUAGUGGCGGACGGGUGAGUAACACGUGGGAACGUGCCUUUAGGUUCGGAAUAACUCAGGGAAACUUGUGCUAAUACCGAAUGUGCCCUUCGUGGGAAAGAUUUAUCGCCUUUAGAGCGGCCCGCGUCUGAUUAGCUAGUUGGUGAGGUAAAGGCUCACAAAGGCUACGAUCAGUAGCUGGUCUGAGAGGAUGACCAGCCACAUUGGGACUGAGACACGGCCCAAACUCCUACGGGAGGCAGCAGUGGGGAAUCUUGCGCAAUGGGCGAAAGCCUGACGCAGCCAUGCCGCGUGGAUGAUGAAGGUCUUAGGAUUGUAAAAUCCUUUCACCGGUGAAGAUAAUGACUGUAGCCGGAGAAGAAGCCCCGGCUAACUUCGUGCCAGCCGCCGCGGUAAUAC
rnacentral:rRNA from 1 species